rnacentral:rRNA from 1 species
UAUUGGGCAAUGGAUGCAACUCUAACCCAGCAACGCCGCGUGAGUGAUGCAGGUCUACGGCUUGUAAAACUCUUUAAGUGGGGACGAAGAAAGUGACUGUACACACAGAAUAAGCCUCGGCUAACUACGUGCAAGCAGCCGCGGUAAUACGUAGGAGGCAAGCGUUAUCCGGAAUGACCGGGCGUAAAGGGUGCGUAGGUGGUUUGACAAGUUAGUAGCGUAAUUCCGGGGCUCAACUUCGGAACUACUACUAAAACUGUUGGGCUUGAGUGCAGGAGAGGUGAAUGGAAUUCCUAGUGUAGCGGUGGAAUGCGUAGAUAUUAGGAGGAACACCAGCGGCGAAAGCGAUUCACUGGACUGUAACUGACACUGAGGCACGAAAGCGUGGGGAGCAAACAG